UACGAGGGGGCAAGCGGUUGUUCGGAAUUAUUGGGCGUAAAGGGCGCGUAGGCGGUUUGACAAGUCUGAUGUGAAAUCUCUGGGCUCAACCCAGAGUCUGCAUUAGAAACUGUCGGGCUUGAGUAUGGGAGAGGUGAGUGGAAUUUCCGGUGUAGCGGUGAAAUGCGUAGAUAUCGGAAGGAACACCUGUGGCGAAAGCGGCUCACUGGACCAUAACUGACGCUGAGGCGCGAAAGCUAGGGGAGCAAACAGGG
rnacentral:rRNA from 1 species